CUGUUCUUGGGAUUCUGGACUUCCAAGUUUAGAAACUAGUCUUUUUCUUUCCUGGGUCUCAUAAACUUUUCCAUUGUUUCACAGGCCAGAUGUGUGAUAUAAACUUAUUUGGGCAUUCAGGGAUAUAAAUAUAAAUACCAGUCAAAAUUACUUCCACAGCUCAACAAAAUCAAAGCAUAAUCAGAAAGAUUACAGAGGAAGGAUGGAAAAUGUUCUGGGAAUGAGCUGGCUGGAAAAGGCAAAGAUGUUUCAUUUUUUCCUGGGCUUCUGGCCCUUUAAUUUGAAUGG